GACGAACGCUGGCGGCGUGCUUAACACAUGCAAGUCGAACGGAAAGGCCCUGCUUUUGUGGGGUGCUCGAGUGGCGAACGGGUGAGUAACACGUGAGUAACCUGCCCGUGACUUUGGGAUAACUUCAGGAAACUGGGGCUAAUACCGGAUAGGAGCUCCUGUUGCAUGGUGGGGGUUGGAAAGUUUCGGCGGUUGGGGAUGGACUCGCGGCUUAUCAGCUUGUUGGUGGGGUAGUGGCUUACCAAGGCUUUGACGGGUAGCCGGCCUGAGAGGGUGACCGGCCACAUUGGGACUGAGAUACGGCCCAGACUCCUACGGGAGGCAGCAGUGGGGAAUAUUGCACAAUGGGCGGAAGCCUGAUGCAGCAACGCCGCGUGCGGGAUGACGGCCUUCGGGUUGUAAACCGCUUUCGCCUGUGACGAAGCGUGAGUGACGGUAAUGGGUAAAGAAGCACCGGCUAACUACGUG
rnacentral:rRNA from 1 species